UACGGAGGGUGCGAGCGUUGUCCGGAAUCACUGGGCGUAAAGGGCGCGUAGGCGGUCAGCACAAGUCAGUUGUGAAAUCUCCGGGCUUAACUCGGAAAGGUCAACUGAUACUGUGCGACUAGAGUGCGGAAGGGGCAACUGGAAUUCUCGGUGUAGCGGUGAAAUGCGUAGAUAUCGAGAGGAACACCUGCGGCGAAGGCGGGUUGCUGGGCUGACACUGACGCUGAAGCGCGAAAGCCAGGGGAGCGAACGGG
rnacentral:rRNA from 1 species